ACAGCCGCAGACGUGGUUGGAGAAAUGCGCAUUGCACCUCGUGCACGUGGUGACUGGAAUCAAGAAACAUGCCGUACUGCUGCGCGCCGUACUGCAAGUCAAGCACCAAGAAAAAGCUUGGUGUAAGCUUCCACGAGUUUCCUGCAGACAAGACUAUCCAGCAAAAGUUCCCUAAAGCCAUUUAGAGGAAAGAUUUCAUUCCAAACGACAAGUCCGCCAGUAGCGUCGUCUGCUCAUUGCAUUUUGUGGGCGAUGACUACUCUUCUGAUUUACCCAAGAGA